rnacentral:rRNA from 1 species
UACGUAGGGUCCGAGCGUUGUCCGGACUGACUGGGCGUAAAGCGCACGCAGGCGGCGCUGUGCGUGGGGUGUGAAAGCUCUUGGCUUAACUGAGAGAGGCCAUCCCAUACGGCAGCGCUCGAGCGGUGCAGAGGUCCGCGGAAUUGCCGGUGUAGUGGUGAAAUGCGUAGAGAUCGGCAGGAACACCCAGGGGGAAACCAGCGGACUGGGCAUCGGCUGACGCUCAGGUGCGACAGCGUGGGGAGCGAACCGG